AGAGUUUGAUCCUGGCUCAGAUUGAACGCUAGCGGGAUGCUUUACACAUGCAAGUCGGACGGCAGCACGAAGAGCUUGCUCUUUGGUGGCGAGUGGCGAACGGGUGAGUAAUGUAUCGGAACGUGCCCAGUAGCGGGGGAUAACUACGCGAAAGCGUGGCUAAUACCGCAUACGCCCUACGGGGGAAAGGGGGGGAUCGCAAGACCUCUCACUAUUGGAGCGGCCGAUAUCGGAUUAGCUGGUUGGUGGGGUAAAGGCCUACCAAGGCGACGAUCCGUAGCUGGUUUGAGAGGACGACCAGCCACACUGGGACUGAGACACGGCCCAGACUCCUACGGGAGGCAGCAGUGGGGAAUUUUGGACAAUGGGGGCAACCCUGAUCCAGCCAUCCCGCGUGUGCGAUGAAGGCCUUCGGGUUGUAAAGCACUUUUGGCAGGGAAGAAACAGCCUGGG
rnacentral:rRNA from 1 species